rnacentral:rRNA from 1 species
GACGAACGCUGGCGGCGUGCUUAACACAUGCAAGUCGAACGGAAAGGCCCUGCUUUUGUGGGGUGCUCGAGUGGCGAACGGGUGAGUAACACGUGAGUAACCUGCCCUUGACUUUGGGAUAACUUCAGGAAACUGGGGCUAAUACCGGAUAGGAGCUCCUGCUGCAUGGUGGGGGUUGGAAAGUUUCGGCGGUUGGGGAUGGACUCGCGGCUUAUCAGCUUGUUGGUGGGGUAGUGGCUUACCAAGGCUUUGACGGGUAGCCGGCCUGAGAGGGUGACCGGCCAGAUUGGGACUGAGAUACGGCCCAGACUCCUACGGGAGGCAGCAGUGGGGAAUAUUGCACAAUGGGAGGAAGCCUGAUGCAGCAACGCCGCGUGCGGGAUGACGGCCUUCGGGUUGUAAACCGCUUUCGCCUGUGACGAAGCGUGAGUGACGGUAAUGGGUAAAGAAGCACCGGCUAACUACGUG